UGGGGAAUCUUGCACAAUGGGGGAAACCCUGAUGCAGCGACGCCGCGUGAGCGAUGAAGCCCUUCGGGGUGUAAAGCUCUUUCGGCAGGGAAGAUAAUGACGGUACCUGCAGAAGCAGCUGCGGCUAACUACGUGCCAGCAGCCGCGGUAAUACGUAGGCAGCAAGCGUUGUUCGGAGUUACUGGGCGUAAAGGGUGUGUAGGCGGUUCUUUAAGUUUGGUGUGAAAUCUCCCGGCUCAACUGGGAGGGUGCGCCGAAUACUGAGGGACUAGAGUACGGGAGAGGAAAGUGGAAUUCCUGGUGUAGCGGUGAAAUGCGUAGAUAUCAGGAGGAACACCGGUGGUGUAGACGGCUUUCUGGACCGUAACUGACGCUGAGACACGAAAGCGUGGGUAGCAAACAGG
rnacentral:rRNA from 1 species